AGCUUUGCCCGGUGGCAGUAUUGUAGCCAAUGAGAGUUAUCCAAGGUACAAUUAUUGCUAAUUAAAAUUUUGACAUGUUGGA
ensembl:snRNA U4 U4 spliceosomal RNA